CACUCACCAAUGCUGGUCCCCGCCGCGGGUCCGGCCUCUCACGGCGGGGCCAUCGGAGGCCGCCGGGCUGCCCGUCCCGCCCCGCCGCCCCGCCGCCGCCGGUCGGAGCUGCCCGCGCCCGCCCGCGUCCCUUCAGGCAGGACCCUGCGGCCCAGAACCUGAUCCUUCGGGACCCGCCAGGCCCUCGAGGUGAAGGAGGGGGCGGGUCCUUGCCCUCCUCCCAAGGACCCUACCUGAAGAAGACGGUUUACCAACUGUACCUGGGCUGGACAUUAAGAACUUCCUGGCUGUGAAGCACCUGCAGAACCUCUGCAGACCAUCCACACUCUGCCCAGUGAGGCCUUGAUCCGGCUGCGCUCAGUGACCUCCUCCUGGACCCUCAGAUUCCUCCUUAAAUGCCUCUUCCUCCAUGAAGGCUUCUCUGACCUUCUUUCCACCCAUGAACACACAGACAUGGACGCUUCUUAGGGAACAGGAAAAGGAUCUCCUGACCUCUUAGGGUGGCAGCAAUUGGAAGCGUGGGGUCUGAGCUCUGCUUAGUCUCCCUCUCUUCAAGCUGGGUAACAGCUGGAGCUGGGACCUCAUCAACCAUGGUGACAUCCCUAACCAUGAAUCUACCAAGAGCUCUUCAAUUGUCAUAUUUAACUCUCAAAACAAUCCUACAACCCAUUUUACAGAUGAGAAAGCUGAGGCUCUGAGAGCGUAAGUCACUUGCUCAUGGUCCCAGGAGACCUAAACCUGUGGGCAUAGCUGGCCAAUUAAGAGGGCACUCAGACCGCACCCUUCACUGCCCAUCAAACCCAAGGACAUUCCCACAGAGCCUAGAAACAAGGGAGCCACUCUCUCUGCAGGUGCCCGGGAUCUUAAAGGGCACAGAAGGAGCUUAGCUUCCCUGCUGUCCUGCACUCUACCGCCCUGCCCUCUGCUACCUGAAGUCAGAGAAGGGUGGAAACUAGCACGGGCUGUGGAGAAAAGUGCACGUGGCAGGGCUUAGAUUCUAUACUCCCCCCCUUGGCACCCACGGCCUCAAGUCACAGCUGGACCACCUUUCUGGGCUCCUACUUCCUCAUCUGCCCAAUGAGGAUGGUAGCAGGCCCCCCUCUUGUGGGGCUAGCAUGGGGACCAAAAGAGCUGAUGUGCUCAAGACCCGGCACACAGAUGCCCUCAAGAGCCCAUGGCUAUUCCAACUGUAAUGAUGACUUAUUCAUGGAAUGCAUUAUUUAAUCGCUGUCCACCAGAUGGAUUCUGAGCCCCUUGAAGGGUUCACAGUAUAUCCUCAGCACCUAACACUCAGUAUGGCUUAAUAAGUUACAUGGAAGGAAAUAAUAGGGAAAGGGGAAAGGCAGACACAGCUGUCUCUCCAGCUAACCUGCUCCCAGCUGGCACACAGAACCUAGUCUCUGCCCCCAGAUCUGCCCCCUAUCCUUUGUAGCUCCAAGAGCCUGUGGCGGGGGAAGAAGAUCCGGGUUCUAGUCCAGUCCUCUCCACUUUCUAGCUGUGUGGCUAUGGGCGGCUAUACCCUUUCCUGAACCUUCCUUUCCCCUCCGUCAAGUGGAACUAGAUCCCAGGGGUUCAGAGGGCUGUCUGGAGGCCACAGGUGGGCUCUGUGUGAGUGCUCUGGGUGCCACGGACACUGGAGAGGGGAGUAUUGUUACUGUUCCUCGUGGCUACCUUCACCUCUUCAAAGACGCAGGGUCGGCCGGGCGCGGUGGCUCACGCCUGUAAUCCUAGCACUUUAAAAGGCCAAGGUGAGUGGAUCACGAGGUCAGGAGAAGAAGACCACCCUGGCCAAUAUGGUGAAGCUCCGUCUCUACUAAAAAUACAAAAAUUAUCUGGGCAUGAUGGCACGCACCUGUAGUCCCAGCUACUCGGGAGGCUGAGGCAGGAGAAUUGCUUGAACCGGGAGGUGGAGGUUGCAGUGAGAUGAGAUUGCCUCACUGCACUUCAGCCUGGUGACAGAGCGAGACUCCUUCUCAAAAAAAAAAAAAAAAGUUUCGUCUGGGCGAGGUGGCUCACGCCUGUAAUCCCAGCACUUUGGGAGGCCAAAGCAGGCUGGGUCACUUGAGGUCAAGAGUUUGAGACCAGCCUGGCCAAUAUAGUGAAACCCCAUCUCUACUAAAAAUACAAAAAUUAGCCAGGCAUGGUAAUGCAUUCCUGUAAUCUCAGAUGCUGGGGAGGCUGAGGGAAGAGAAUCUCUUGAACCUGGGAGGUGGAGGUUGCAGCGAGCCAAGAUUGUGCCACUACAUUCCAGCCUAGGUGACAGAGCAAGACAGAGAGAGAGAGAGAGAGA